CUUGUGUGUAGGUUAAACCAAUAUCUUUGGUUAAGUUGCUUUCAAACUGAACCAUGAAAUCAUUACUUUUGAGUGUAUUUACUUUUGAAAGUAGUUUAGUCCGACAUAUAGACAACGUUCUGUUCAUCAGCCUGGACUACUGUAAAAGGUGGGUGGAUUCGUUUGAAUUGUUUUACAUUGUCAUUUCUGGGCCUUUUAUAUCAGAC
rnacentral:lncRNA from 1 species